GGAAGGAUGCCAGAGUGGUUGAAUGGGGCGGUCUCGAAAACCGUUACCCCGAAUUUUCGGGGUCGCAGGUUCGAAUCCUGCUCCUUCCG
rnacentral:tRNA from 1 species